AAUUAUUAUUGAAUAAUUUAUUUUGGCCUUUUUGCAUAAAAAAUUCACUUAUUUUGGGUUUUUGCAAAACCGGGCCACCUUUUUCGUUUUUGCAGAUUCAGUCCACUUUUUCAACAAACUGACCAAAAUACCCUUAUAUAUUUUUCUCUCUCCUCUUUUUUUUCUCUCUCCUUUCUUCGAUCUCGUCGCCGCGGACCCUUUUUUCUCUCUUCUCAUUUUUCGUUUUUUUUCUCGUUCCUUUUUUCUUUCUUUUCCCAGAGACGUCGUUGUCCCC
rnacentral:lncRNA from 1 species